ensembl:snoRNA small nucleolar RNA SNORA68
AUGACACACUUUAAGAAUUGUGAACAGGUGCUAACAGCAAGUGGAUCUUGUCGCCUUUGGGGGCAGUCACUGUGCCCCCUCAAAGUGAAUUGGAAGGUUCUACACUC